rnacentral:rRNA from 1 species
UCCUGGCUCAGAACGAACGCUGGCGGCGUGGAUAAGAUUUGCAAGCCCAACGGGCGUAGCAAUACGUCAGUGGCGAAAGGGUGCGUAACACGUGGGCAAUCUGCCGGAAAGUGGGGGAUAGCUCGCCGAAAGGCGAAUUAAUACCGCAUGUGGUGAGUUAAGACAUCUUAGCGAAACUAAAGUCGGGGCAACCUGACGCUUUCUGAUGAGCCCGCGGCCUAUCAGCUAGUUGGUGAGGUAACGGCUCACCAAGGCAAUGACGGGUAGCUGGUCUGAAAGGACGACCUACCACACUGGAACUGAGACACGGUCCACACACCUACUGGUGGCAGCAAUCGAGAAUUUUUCUCAAUGGGCGAAAGCCUGAAAGAGCGACUCCGCGUGGAAGAUGAAGGGUUUCGGCUUGUAAACUCCUGUCUUUGGGGAACGAGUUAUGGGGAGUAACUGCCCUGAUAUUGAAACUACCGAA